rfam:Anopheles melas strain CM1001059_A cont2.10953, whole genome shotgun sequence.
UAAACAGCCCUUUUCAGGGCUACCAAAUAGUUCUGAAAAGAACUUU